GCUCCGGUGGCCUAGUGGUUACAGCGUCCGACUCCGGUGCAGGAGGUCGUGGGUUCAAUCCCCGGUCGAGUCA